rnacentral:rRNA from 1 species
AGUGAACGCUGGCGGUAGGCCUAACACAUGCAAGUCGAACGGCAGCACAGGAGAGCUUGCUCUCUGGGUGGCGAGAGGCGGACGGGUGAGGAAUACAUCGGAAUCUACUCUGUCGUGGGGGAUAACGUAGGGAAACUUACGCUAAUACCGCAUACGACCUACGGGUGAAAGCAGGGGACCUUCGGGCCUUGCGCGAUUGAAUGAGCCGAUGUCGGAUUAGCUAGUUGGCGGGGUAAAGGCCCACCAAGGGGACGAUCCGUAGCUGGUCUGGGAGGAUGAUCAGCCACACUGGAACUGAGACACGGUCCAGACUCCUACGGGAGGCAGCAGUGGGGAAUAUUGGACAAUGGGCGCAAGCCUGAUCCAGCCAUACCGCGUGGGUGAAGAAGGCCUUCGGGUUGUAAAGCCCUUUUGUUGGGAAAGAAAUCCAGCUGGCUAAUACCCGGUUGGGAUGACGGUACCCAAAGAAUAAGCACCGGCUAACUUCGUGCCAGCCGCCGCCGUAA